CACUUCACUUCUUUUUUGAAGCGUGGAUUUCCUCUAUAAAAAUGAAUUUUAAAGUGGGUGAAAUUUGAUCCGAUUAUAUCUGCCUUAAAGUCAAACUUUUAUCGGAUGACUUUUCACAUAAAAUAAUAUCUGAACAUGUAUCACCUAGUUGAAAAAGCUUUCCCGAGUAAAUCCUUCUAAUGACCCAUUUAUCUACGGCACUGAUGGAUUAGGAUUUAUUAUUGCUGAAGUAGUUCUCCGCCAGGUCUAGGGCCCUAGACUAG
rnacentral:lncRNA from 1 species